rnacentral:rRNA from 1 species
CCUACGGGUGGCAGCAGUGAGGAAUAUUGGUCAAUGGGCGGGCGCCUGAACCAGCCAAGUCGCGUGAGGGAAGACGGUCCUAUGGAUUGUAAACCUCUUUUGGCGGGGAGCAAUGCCGGGCACGUGUGCCCGGAGGGAGAGUACCCGCAGAAUAAGCAUCGGCUAACUCCGUGCCAGCAGCCGCGGUAAUACGGAGGAUGCGAGCGUUAUCCGGAUUUAUUGGGUUUAAAGGGUGCGUAGGUUGUUUUUUAAGUCAGCGGUGAAAGUUUGUGGCUCAACCAUAAAAUUGCCGUUGAAACUGGAGGGCUUGAGUGUGUUUGAGGUAGGCGGAAUGCGUGGUGUAGCGGUGAAAUGCAUAGAUAUCACGCAGAACUCCGAUUGCGAAGGCAGCUUACUGAGCCAUAACUGACGCUGAAGCACGAAAGCGUGGGGAUCGAACAGGAUUAGAUACCCGGGUAGUC